AGUACGUGGAGGCUCAGUUGAACCUGAAUCAGAUAUUGUGCAGGCUUGCAGAAGCUUUCUAGAUCAACGACAGUGCAUUAAUGUGUGGCGAUUUAUCCAAACUAUCAACGAAGAAAAGACUUGACAGAGAACCUGAAGCAGCUACAGUGCAGGACACUAAUUUUUGUUGGUGAGAAUUCCCAGUUCCAUGCUGAAGCUGUGCACAUGACUGCAAAGCUUGAUAGGCGAUAUAGCGCUCUUGUGGAGGUACAAGCUUGUGGCUCGGUUGUGACAGAGGAGCAACCACACACAAUGCUGAUACCAAUGGAGUACUUUCUCAUGGGAUAUGGACUGUACAGGCCAAGCCAGAUAAACUUUAGCCCUCGUAGCCCUCUGAAUCCGUUUUGUAUAUCACCAGAGCUCCUCUCUCCUGAGAGCAAGGGGGUUAAGCUAAAGCCA